UGUGUGUGGAGUACAGGGGCGCCGUCUGUUUUGUUCGUCAUGGAAUAUAUGCUCACUGUGAAAGUGAGACUCUGGUAGCUGGCUUACAGCCAACGCAAGCGCAACGAACUGACACUUGUUUUCGCUGGCAAAUGGGACGCCAUGAAGCAAGAAACUUGUACCACCACAAACUUCUCCUUCUUCCUUUCCCUUUUUAUAUAUGUACAAUGUAAUGCGGUAGUAGUUUAUCAACUGAUUCAUCGCAACGAGAUCGAGAGCGCGAGCGUCCGGCGCUCUAAAAAGCAAUUAGCUAGUCCAUAUACCACGCAGUUCAAUCCAUCAAGUUCUAGAUCAUGGACCUGAUGGAGAAGUCACAACGAGCUCAUUUCUUGUUCGAGGUCGAUCAUGAGGAGGCCGCCGCUCUUCCUGGCCGCCACGCCGAGGAAGACAACAACGACAGCAGCAAGCUAUGCUUCGGCAGCUGCAGUUCUACGCCGCCGCCGACGAGGGACAGUAGUCGUCGUCGACCGCCGGAGGCAAAGGCGCCGCGGACAUCUCUAGCCUCAUUCACAAAGCUAAGUCGUUAAUUAAUUAAUAUAAGCUCCUAUAGUCAUCAUCCUGUCUAAUUCACCGGAACAAUGAAUUACUCCAUUGUCGAAUAACAAUUAUGUUGAUGAUGUCGAUCGAAUUCUUUAUUAUUUAUUGUUAGAAUUCUCUUAUUGUUAUAUAUAAAGGACCAUACCAGGGUGUAAUUUUCCAUUACGAAGAACAGUGUAAUAGAUGAUACUUCUUCGUCAUGCUCAUGCUCUUCAUAUUAUAUACAACCAUUUUUAGAUAAAGGAUAAAACAAUAUCCGGCCUCUACAUUUAAGGAUGUACACGCAGCCAAUUAUUACAAAGUUGCCGAUUAUGAAAGAUGGAAAAAUAGAGAAAGUCAGAAGCCUUAAACAUAGAGGACACUAGAGCAAACGAAAAAGAUGCUUCCACCCUGCACUUGAAAACUCAAAGGCGAUCAUCUCCAAUUUCUUGCUAACAAGCGAGAGUACGUCCUUGGCUUGCUCAUCAUGCUGCAGCUGAGCCCAGAAACGUAGCUAGUAUGCUCCCCUGAAAAUAACCUAGAUGAUAAAGUUAGUUUUUAUUUUGUUGAAGAUAACAUGUGAUGCAGAAGCUAAUACGGGAGUAUAUAUAUCUAGUUGCAGGGCACAUGGGCAGGGUCCUCCAUCCAGACCCCUACCAGGCGGGCCAUGGUGGAGGCACGUGUGCAACGGCAACUAUGAGGCAUCGCCUGUUUAAUACAUGCAGGCCCGUGUAGUCUUUGAAGAAUGUGGAGGAUUAGUUAAGGUGCAGGCUCUUUCGUGUAUGGAUAAUAAUUGAAUCACAUUUCACUAUAUAUCAUGCCAACGCGAGGGCGAGGUCCCCAGCCAUGACUCAUCCAGUCACCGUGUACCUCAGCUUAAUUGCAUUUGAUUUGAUCUGGUUUCAGACAUGAUCAAUUUCUUGUUGGAGUUGUUCCAAAUUCACUUCAGGAUAAUGGCCGGGCUUCUGACGGAGCGAAGCGGAGGCCCGUCGCCGGAGGCUUGGCCCGUCCCGUAUCUGAUCUUGUUAGUAGAUAUAUGUCUAAUCCUGGCAAAGAACAUUGGAGGGCAGUUCAGUGGAUUUUCAGGUACCUCAAAGGCACAACAUAUUCAUGUUUGAAGUUUGGAAGAACAGAUACGGGACUUAUUGGAUAUGUGGAUUCUGAUUAUGCUGCUGAUUUGGACAGGCGAAGAUCACUUACUGGUUAUGUGUUUACUGUUGGCAGUUGUGCUGUGAGUUGGAGGGCUACUUUACAGUCUGUUGUUGCUUUGUCUACUACUGAGGCAGAAUAUAUGGCUAUUUGUGAAGCGUGCAAGGAGUUGAUUUGGUUAAAAGGUUUGUACGCUGAGCUCAGUGGAGUUGAAUCUUGCAUAAGUUUGCAUUGUGAUAGUCAAAGUGCAAUUUACCUCACUAAAGAUCAGAUGUUCCAUAAGAGAACUAAGCACAUAGAUAUCAAAUAUCAUUUUGUGCGUGAUGUGAUUGAGGAAGGUAAGCUGAAGGUAUGCAAGAUUAGUACUCAUGAUAAUCCUGCUGAUAUGAUGACAAAGCCUAUUUCUGUUGCUAAGUUUGAGUUAUGCUCAAGCUUAGUAGGUUUGAUUGAAUAGUCCGAGAGACUAUUGUUGGCACCACUGGUUUUCUAUCUUUGUUGUUCAGGAUGAUGGGUUGAUUUAUGAUACAAGAAGAAUUUGUCUCAAGGUGGAGUUUGUUGGAGUUGUUCCAAAUUCACUUCAGGAUAAUGGCCGGGCUUCUGACGGAGCGAAGCGGAGGCCCGUCGCCGGAGGCUUGGGCCGGAGCGCAGCGGAGUCUGAAGCCGGCCCAUCAGACCGCGCCCUCGUGCACACAGGGGGGGUGCGGGGGGCGGAGCCCCCCCGCGGUACGGUAUAUACCCUUGCUAGGGUUUCGUGGAGACUAGAUUCUCUUGUAAGCCGCCGCAGGCGUGUAACCCAAAAAAACUCUUGAGAUAGUGAGAUCGUUGCUGGCUGGUGCCCGUGGUUUUUCCCCUUCGCAUUGGAGGGGUUUUCCACGUAAAUCGUGUGUCUGUGCGUUGAUUGAUUUCAUACUCCAUACGUCGUUCAUAACAUUUCCUUCCUCCAUCUAGCCUGGAGAUGUAUAUAUGCGCAACCUGCUGCUGAUCUACAGAUAAGUGGCUGGCAUAAUUAGAAUUACAUUCAGUGAGCUGCGCUAGCUUGUUUUGAUUGCCCUACCCAGCCAGUGGUUUGCUGUCUUAUGAAUUCUCUUGACGCUCGA